ensembl:lncRNA
GGCAACCUGUUGGUUGUUGGACAAAUAGGUUUAACAUCUGGCAAAAGAAGAAGAAAAAAAAAAAACAAUUAAAUUUCACGGUUGCCAUGCAUUACAAAAGAAACACAUCUUCACCAAACAGAUGUAUUUGGUGUAAUGCGAAGACUGGGUGAAUUACCACUUCCCCUCACGACUACGUUACCCCAGUGGCCACUCGCAGCUCAAGCGGAGGAAUAAACUCAUCUUCAGAAGUAAGAACAAUCCAGAUGUGCCUAGUAUUUUCCCCCCGAAAAUCCCCAGCGUACUUUAUGUUGUUGGACGAGACGGGUAUAUUUCUACAGACGCGUGUCAAGCGGUGCAGAAUCCGGGUGUCGUGCUACUUAAUUCCAAAAAGUUCUCGUUUUCUAUUGGUUCACAAGACCGAGGUCGAAGUUCGCCUGGAUAAACGUGGCGCUAAAAUGAAAGUAACCCAUACCGGAAGAAAAUGCGUCCUUUCCCUUUCCUUGCGUUUGGUCCGAACACUUGGUCUGAGAAAGCAGAAAAGCAUAGUUUUCCGGUGUCUUCCAUAUCGGGGUGGAAGACUGUGAGACUGAACAGUAAUUGUUGGCGCGUCUGACGGUAUAGGCCUGGUUGGCGCGUUUUUCUAGCAGAAGAGUAAUGGUUUCUUCGGAGUAGGAGGUGAACCUGUUAAAGCUGACUAAACCUGUUAAAGCUGAUAAACAUGAAUGUAGGAGUAAACAUGAAUAAAUAGGAAUGGAGAUGUAAACAUGAAUAAACAUGAAUGUAGAAAUAAAUAUGAAUAAACAUGAAUGUAGGAGUAAACAUGAAUAAACAUGAAUGUAGGAGUAAACAUGAAUAAACAUGAAUGUAGAAGUAAACAUGAAAUAAACAUGAAUGUAGAAAUAAAUCUGAAUAAACAGGAAUGUAGAAGUAAACAUGAAUAAAUAGGAAUGUAGAAGUAAACAUGAAUGUAGAAGUAAACAUGAAUAAAUAUGAAUGUAGGAGUAAACAUGAAUAAACAGGACUGGAUAUGUAAAUAUGAAUAAACAUGAAUGUAGAAAUAAAUAUGAAUAAACAUGAAUGUAGGAGUAAACAUGAAUAAAUAGGAAUGUAGAAGUAAACAUGAAUGUAGGAGUAAACAUGAAUAAACAUGAAUGUAGGAGUAAACAUGAAUAAACAUGAAUGUAGGAGUAAACAUGAAUAAACAUGAAUGUAGGAGUAAACAUGAAUAAACAUGAAUGUAGGAGUAAACAUGAAUAAACAUGAAUGUAGGAGUAAACAUGAAUAAACAUGAAUGUAGAAAUAAACAUGAAUAAACAGGAAUGUAGAAGUAAACAUGAAUAAACAUGAAUGUAGGAGUAAACAUGAAUAAAUAUGAAUGUAGAAGUAAACAUGAAUAAAUAGGAAUGUAGAAGUAAACAUGAAUAAACAGGAACUGGUAGUAAAUAUGAAUAAACAUGAAUGUAGGAGUAAACAUGAAUAAAC